rnacentral:rRNA from 1 species
UGAGGUUAAGUGACUAAGCGUACACGGUGGAUGCCUAGGCAGUCAGAGGCGAUGAAGGACGUGCUAAUCUGCGAAAAGCGUCGGUAAGCUGAUAUGAAGCGUUAUUAGCCGGCGAUGUCCGAAUGGGGAAACCCAGUGCAAUUCGUUGCACUAUCAUUGCGUGAAUCCAUAGCGCAAUGAGGCGAACCGGGGGAACUGAAACAUCUCAGUACCCCGAGGAAAAGAAAUCAACCGAGAUUCCCCCAGUAGCGGCGAGCGAACGGGGAACAGCCCAGAACCACCAUCAGCUUUUGCAUCAGGAGAACGGUCUGGAAAGUCCGGCGACAGAGGGUGAUAGCCCCGUAUCCGAAGGUGCAGAAGUUGUGGGUUCGAUGAGUAGGGCGGGACACGUGAUAUCCUGUCUGAAGAUGGGGGGACCAUCCUCCAAGGCUAAAUACUCCUGACUGACCGAUAGUGAACCAGUACCGUGAGGGAAAGGCGAAAAGAACCCCGGCGAGGGGAGUGAAACAGAACCUGAAACCGUGUACGUACAAGCAGUGGGAGCCUUGAGAAAUCGGGGUGACUGCGUACCUUUUGUAUAAUGGGUCAGCGACUUAUAUUCUGUAGCAAGGUUAACCGCAUAGGGGAGCCGUAGGGAAACCGAGUCUUAACUGGGCGCACAGUUGCAGGGUAUAGACCCGAAACCCGGUGAUCUAGCCAUGGGCAGGUUGAAGGUUGGGUAACACUAACUGGAGGACCGAACCGACUAAUGUUGAAAAAUUAGCGGAUGACUUGUGGCUGGGGGUGAAAGGCCAAUCAAACCGGGAGAUAGCUGGUUCUCCCCGAAAGCUAUUUAGGUAGCGCCUCGUGAAUUCAUCUUCGGGGGUAGAGCACUGUUUCGGCUAGGGGUCCACCCCGGAUUACCAACCCGAUGCAAACUGCGAAUACCGAAGAAUGUUAUCACGGGAGACACACGGCGGGUGCUAACGUCCGUCGUGAAGAGGGAAACAACCCAGACCGCCGGCUAAGGUCCCAAAGUCAUGGUUAAGUGGGAAACGAUGUGGGAAGGCAUAGACAGCCAGGAUGUUGGCUUAGAAGCAGCCAUCAUUUAAAGAAAGCGUAAUAGCUCACUGGUCGAGUCGGCCUGCGCGGAAGAUGUAACGGGGCUAAACCAUGCACCGAAGCCGCGGCAGCGGACAUAUCACUUAAAAUGCUUAAGUGAACAGGCACAGCGGUGUUGAGGUUCGGACAGGCGACUGCCGGAUACCCGCAGCGCGAGAGUGUGCCAAUGGGGUCGAAUCGGCCAUUUUUAGGCCGACCGAGCGCCCCAUGGCGCGGUAGGCGCGCGACACGUCGGGCUAAACGACGACGAGACGACGCCAAGACUUGCCGAAGGCAUUUUAAGGAUAUGUCCGUUGGGUAGGGGAGCGUUCUGUAAGCCUGAGAAGGUGGCCUGUGAGGGUUGCUGGAGGUAUCAGAAGUGCGAAUGCUGACAUAAGUAACGAUAAAGCGGGUGAAAAGCCCGCUCGCCGGAAGACCAAGGGUUCCUGUUCAACGUUAAUCGGAGCAGGGUGAGUCGACCCCUAAGGCGAGGCCGAAAGGCGUAGUCGAUGGGAAACAGGUUAAUAUUCCUGUACUGGGUGUGACUGCGAAGGGGGGACGGAGAAAGCUAGACCGGCCGGGCGACGGUUGUCCCGGUUCAAGCGUGCAGGUGGAGAGGACAGGAAAAUCCGUUCUCUUAUCAACACUGAGGCGUGAUGACGAGCCACUACGGUGGUGAAGGGGUUGAUGCUACGCUUCCAGGAAAAGCCUCUAAGCACCAGGUCACAUCGAAUCGUACCCCAAACCGACACAGGUGGUCAGGUAGAGAAUACCGAGGCGCUUGAGAGAACUCGGGUGAAGGAACUAGGCAAAAUGGUGCCGUAACUUCGGGAGAAGGCACGCUGGCAUUAGGUGGAGGGACUUGCUCCCCGAGCUGAAGCCAGUCGCAGAUACCAGCUGGCUGCAACUGUUUAUUAAAAACACAGCACUGUGCAAACACGAAAGUGGACGUAUACGGUGUGACGCCUGCCCGGUGCCGGAAGGUUAAUUGAUGGGGUUAUCCGCAAGGAGAAGCUCUUGAUCGAAGCCCCGGUAAACGGCGGCCGUAACUAUAACGGUCCUAAGGUAGCGAAAUUCCUUGUCGGGUAAGUUCCGACCUGCACGAAUGGCGUAAUGAUGGCCAGGCUGUCUCCACCCGAGACUCAGUGAAAUUGAACUCGCUGUGAAGAUGCAGUGUACCCGCGGCAAGACGGAAAGACCCCGUGAACCUUUACUAUAGCUUGACACUGAACAUUGAGCCUUGAUGUGUAGGAUAGGUGGGAGGCUUUGAAGUAGGGACGCCAGUCCUUAUGGAGCCAACCUUGAAAUACCACCCUUUAAUGUUUGAUGUUCUAACUCCGGCCCGUAAUCCGGGUCGAGGACAGUGUCUGGUGGGUAGUUUGACUGGGGCGGUCUCCUCCUAAAGAGUAACGGAGGAGCACGAAGGUUAGCUAAUCACGGUCGGACAUCGUGAGGUUAGUGCAAAGGCAUAAGCUAGCUUGACUGCGAGAGUGACGGCUCGAGCAGGUGCGAAAGCAGGUCUUAGUGAUCCGGUGGUUCUGAAUGGAAGGGCCAUCGCUCAACGGAUAAAAGGUACUCCGGGGAUAACAGGCUGAUACCGCCCAAGAGUUCAUAUCGACGGCGGUGUUUGGCACCUCGAUGUCGGCUCAUCACAUCCUGGGGCUGAAGUAGGUCCCAAGGGUAUGGCUGUUCGCCAUUUAAAGUGGUACGCGAGCUGGGUUUAGAACGUCGUGAGACAGUUCGGUCCCUAUCUGCCGUGGGCGUUGGAAGAUUGAGAGGGGCUGCUCCUAGUACGAGAGGACCGGAGUGGACGCACCACUGGUGUUCGGGUUGUCAUGCCAAUGGCAUUGCCCGGUAGCUACGUGCGGAAGAGAUAACCGCUGAAAGCAUCUAAGCGGGAAACUUGCCUCGAGAUGAGUCUUCCCUGUGGCUUUAGGCCGCCUGAAGGGACGUUAAAGACGAUGACGUUGAUAGGUCGGGUGUGUAAGCGCAGCGAUGCGUUGAGCUAACCGAUACUAAUGACCCGUGAGACUUAACCUU